AUUCCAUGAUGUGGACAUCUCCUUUGAAGAUCCUUUUAUCUCUCCCAUGCCUCAUAUAGACUCUUAUCAUCCCUUGGUCUAAAAGAAGUUAAUUUAUUCCUAAAUUU